rnacentral:misc_RNA from 1 species
GAUGAAGAACGUAGUGAAAUGCGAUAAGUAAUGUGAAUUGCAGAAUUCAGUGAAUCAUCGAAUCUUUGAACGCACAUUGCGCCCCUUGGUAUUCCAUGGGGCAUGCCUGUUCGAGCGUCAUUUGUACCUUCAAGCUCUGCUUGGUGUUGGGUGUUUGUCUCGCCUCUGCGCGUAGACUCGCCUCAAAACAAUUGGCAGCCGGCGUAUUGAUUUCGGAGCGCAGUACAUCUCGCGCUUUGCACUCAUAACGAUGACGUCCAAAAGUACAUUUUUACACUCUUGACCUCGGAUCAGGUAGGGAUACCCGCUGAACUUAAGCAUAUCAAUAAGCGGAGGA